rnacentral:lncRNA from 1 species
UGAAAUCCCACCACCAAAAUCAUCCCUUCUCAAUCUUUUAUAAGACACAGACUUCAGGCAAUGCUCCUUCAGUAACCUGUGACCGGUAUUUUUCCUUUUCCAUUCCUGAUGUCCUCUGCAUCCCGCUCUUUGAAUGGGAGCAGCCAUUGUUACUGGGAGCCAUGAAGGGGCAGGCAUCUGUGCCAUGUGUUAAACACUCCGUCCAAGAAUCGCCAAGACUACAACUGAUGACUGAGCACAGGAAGACUUAUACAGAUGCCUUCUACACGCCUUGCCAGAUAAUAAACUCUUGGAGGGAAGACACCAUAUUUUAGGUAUCUUUUUCUUCCCUUUCCCUGGG